AACGAACGCUGGCGGCAUGCCUAACACAUGCAAGUCGAACGAGACCUUCGGGUCUGGUGGCGCACGGGUGCGUAACGCGUGGGAACCUGCCCUUAGGUUCGGAAUAACUCCUCGAAGGGGGUGCUAAUACCGGAUAAUGUAUUCGGAUCAAAGAUUUAUCGUCUUGGGAUGGGCCGGCGUUGGCCAAGCCAGUUGCUAGUGUAAAAGCCUAUCAAGGCUACGAUCCAUAGCUGGUCUGAGAGGUAGAGCAGCCACGCUGGGACAAUGACACGGCCUGGACUCUUAGGGGAGGCCGCGGGGGGGGAUAUAGGAAUACGGCGUAGGAGAUGAAGCAGCUAUGCCGCGUGAGUGAUUAAGGCUUUAUGGAAGUAAAGCUCUUUUACCCGGGAUGAUACUGACAGUACCCGGAGAAUAAGCUCCGGCUAACUCCGUG
rnacentral:rRNA from 1 species